AUUGAACGCUGGCGGCAUGCUUUACACAUGCAAGUCGAACGGUAACAGGCCGCAAGGUGCUGACGAGUGGCGAACGGGUGAGUAAUGCAUCGGAACGUGCCCAGUCGUGGGGGAUAACGCAGCGAAAGCUGUGCUAAUACCGCAUACGAUAUAUGGAUGAAAGCGGGGGACCGUAAGGCCUCGCGAGGUUGGAGCGGCCGAUGUCAGAUUAGGUAGUUGGUGGGGUAAAGGCUCACCAAGCCAACGAUCUGUAGCUGGUCUGAGAGGACGACCAGCCACACUGGGACUGAGACACGGCCCAGACUCCUACGGGAGGCAGCAGUGGGGAAUUUUGGACAAUGAGCGCAAGCCUGAUCCAGCAAUGCCGCGUGCAGGAAGAAGGCCUUCGGGUUGUAAACUGCUUUUGUACGGAACGAAAAGGUUUGGGUUAAUACCCUGGGCCGAUGACGGUACCGUAAGAAUAAGCACCAGCUAACUACGUGCCAGCCGCCGCCGUAA
rnacentral:rRNA from 1 species